rnacentral:rRNA from 1 species
UACGAAGGGGGCUAGCGUUGCUCGGAAUCACUGGGCGUAAAGGGUGCGUAGGCGGGCUUUUAAGUCAGGGGUGAAAUCCUGGAGCUCAACUCCAGAACUGCCUUUGAUACUGAAGAUCUUGAGUCCGGGAGAGGUGAGUGGAACUGCGAGUGUAGAGGUGAAAUUCGUAGAUAUUCGCAAGAACACCAGUGGCGAAGGCGGCUCACUGGCCCGAUACUGACGCUGAGGCACGAAAGCGUGGGGAGCAAACAGG